CACGGCUUCCCGAGAGCACCAGAACCCAGCUGUGAAUCCUCAAGCCCAGAAGAGGGUCGUGCGGUGGACGUUCUUGCUCCUGUUCAAGAGAAACCGGUCAAAUUUAAGAAGAUGCGCUUAAUUAUUCGGCUUGGAAUCAGUCGGAAGAUACCUGUUUUGGAGGCUUCAGCAAGGGACACUCCUGUCGGGACUGAUCAAGCAGGCACAUCUCUUUAGUGGCGUAUCCACUGACGCAGACUCAGCAGAAGUGCUUUUCUAUCAGGAUACAACAGCACAAACUGCUGACGGAAGUUUUCCGCCAUGGCCAGCAUGAGCGUCUCCUGUGAGGAAUUCUGCUUGUAUGAA